rnacentral:rRNA from 1 species
AACGAACGCUGGCGGCAUGCCUAACACAUGCAAGUCGAACGAGACCUUCGGGUCUAGUGGCGCACGGGUGCGUAACGCGUGGGAACCUGCCCUUAGGUUCGGAAUAACUCCCCGACAGGGGUGCUAAUACCGGAUAAUUUCUUCGGACCAAAGAUUUAUCGCCUUUGGAUGGGCCCGCGUUGGAUUAGCUAGUUGGUAGGGUAAAAGCCUACCAAGGCGACGAUCCAUAGCUGGUCUGAGAGGAUGAUCAGCCACACUGAGACUGAGACACGGCCCAGACUCCUACGGGAGGCAGCAGUGGGGAAUAUUGGACAAUGGGCGAAAGCCUGAUCCAGCAAUGCCGGGUGAGUGAUGAAGGCCUUAGGGUUGUAAAGCUCGUUUACCCGGGAUGAUAAUGACAGUACCGGGAGAAUAAGCUCCGGCUAACUCCGUG